rnacentral:rRNA from 1 species
GCGUUAUCUGGAAUGAUUGAGCGUAAAGCGUCUGUAGGUGGCUUUUUAAGUCUGCCGUCAAAUCCCAGGGCUCAACUCUGGACAGGCGGUGGAAACUACCAAGCUCGAGUACGGUAGGGGCAGAGGGAAUUUCCGGUGGAGCGAUGAAAUGCGUAGAGAUCGGAAAGAACACCAAUGGCGAAAGCACUCUGCUGGGCCGACACUGACACUGAGAGACGAAAGCUAU